rnacentral:rRNA from 1 species
GACGAACGCUGGCGGCGUGCCUAAUACAUGCAAGUCGAACGCAGUGGGGACGGGUGAGUAACACGUGGGUAAACUCCCAUAAGAGGGGAUAACACUUGGAAACAGGUGCUAAACCGAUACUGAAAGAUGGACCCGAGGUGCAGUAGCUAGUUGGUGAGGUAACGGCUCACCAAGGCCACGAUGCAUAGCCGACCUGAGAGGGGUACAGGCCAAACUGGGACGGAGACACGGCCCAGACUCCUACGGACGGCAGCAGUAGGGAAUCUUCGGCAAUGGACGAAAGUCUGACCGAGCAAAGCCGCGUGAGUGAAGAAGGUUUCCGGAUCGUAAAACUCGUUUGUUAGAGAAGCGGUAUCGAACCAGAAAGCCACGGCUAACUACGUGCCAGCAGCCGCGGUAAUAC